AUGGCGUCAAACGAUUAUUCCCAAACAUCUGGCCAGGGCUGUGGGUCCUAUGGUGGUGGAGGAGGUGGAGGUGCUCACCAGGGCUAUGGUCAGUCCUCUGGUCAGAGCUACGGAGGCUACAACCAGAGCACCAACGCCAGCUACUCUCCGUCUCCGUCAGGCUACGUUUCUCCGCCCUCUAACCAGGGUGCAGGUGGAGGUUAUAAUCAGCCCUGCAGCCCCGGAGGUUACAGCAACACCACCCAGCCCUUCAACAUGAGCUACAACCAGCAGUCCUCCUUCUCCGGCUACAGCCAGCAGCCUCCGCCCUUGUCCUCCGCCGGCAGCUACGAAGGAGACCGCCCGGCGUCCGGCUACAACCAGCCCCCGGGCGGAGGCAGCCACGUCAGCGGCGGAGGUCAGACCGGGGCCUACGGGCGCGGCGGGGGCCACCAGCAGCCCCCCCAACAAGGAGGAGGCCGCUACAACCAACCACCGAGCUACGGUUCCGCCCCCCCACAGGACUACAGCCAGCAGAGCGGCGGCGGCGGUGAGUUCUGCGCUGCCUCGGCAGAGAACGCUGUGCAGGGAGAAGUGCUCUCACACGUCUCCCCCUCAGGUUACGGAGACGUAAGCCCCCCGCUGAGCGGAGGAGGAGGUGGAAGCUACGGCGGCCCCGACGGAGGUAGAGCUCGUGGGGGGGGGAUUUGGAGGCCGCGGAUACGAUCGCGGGUUUGAUCGAGGUGGCCGAGGCGGGCCGAGAGGAAGAGGAGGCAUGGGGUGAGUGUGUGAUGAGAACCCGGGGCCAUGUUGACAGUAACCACGGUUACGAGGUCAACUCAUGCACCACAGACAUGUUAGAAGGUCCUUCCUGUGAGAGCUGCUGCCUUCCACCAUCAUGUGUCUGUUAGCGAACAGCACAAAGGACUGAGGCCUUCUCUGUGGCGGCCGUGUGCAGCCUCUCCUCAGCCAAUCAAACUACAGCAACACUGAACUCAAUUCAUAUUCAAUAUAUCUGCUCAAAGAAGGAAACCGGAUGCUUAAAAUGAAUCUAUAGUGCGUGCCAACAGUUAUUUGUUAUAAUAACUAGUUAACCGACGGAGAUACAAGGGUUGAGAAUACAAAUGGUGGCUCGUGGCGAUGAGAAACUAAAGUGGAAGGAGAUGAGCGCUUUGGAGCAGAGGCUGCUGGGUAAGUGGGUGUGUUUGUCUCAGCUGGGACAAUGUUUCAUUUCUUCUGUUACUUUGUGACCCAUUGAAUCCGAAAUAGUUUCCAUCUCACGGUUUGUUCUCUCACCCGUCACGUGGAUGUGUGGAACUCCAUCCCGCCGCCGCCACAGCGUCCUUACAGGCAGUUAACAACCAGAUGUGGUUACAUGUGUCCAACUGAUCUGACUCCAUGUAUUUAGUUUAAAUGGUUGGUCAGUGACCUGAGUUUAACAUCUCACCACAGAGAAGCGUGCAAGGUGUAAACCGAUGAACUAGCUCACCUGGCCGGCAUGUGCACACCUUCUGCCCUGGAGGAGAAAAGUGCCGAUUGUUUCAAUAUUGUAUCAAUAUUUAAGAAUUAAAAUGACGCUCUGUCAUGAAUUCCCCCCAAAUGUGUUUUAAUAUCUGAUCCUCCACUGCGCUCACAAGCCCCUCCCUCCCUCCCUGCUCCUCCUCCUCCUGCUCCUCCUUUUGCUCCUGCUCCUCCUCCUGCUUCUCCUCCUUCUGCUCCUGCUCCUCCUCCUGCUCCUCCUUUUGCUCCUGCUCCUCCCCCUGCUCCUGCUUCUCCUCCUCCUGCUCCUCCCCCUGCUCCUGCUUCUCCUCCUCCUGCUCCUCCCCCUGCUCCUGCUUCUCCUCCUCCUGCUCCUCCCCCUGCUCCUGCUUCUCCUCCUUCUGCUCCUGCUCCUCCUCCUCGUGGGGUUCUGAGCGCCAGGCGGCUGCAGGAUCAGACCAGCAGGUGAUGGCGGUGUGGGCGUGACCCCCUGAUGUCUGGAGAUAAAUUAACAUUUAGCGGCGCUGAAAACAUUACGUUUCAACUGGUCCGACGUUUCCUAAAAAAUAAACAAACAGAAAACUCACAAAAUGAUUUCACAGCUUGUGACGUGUGUCACGUCUAAUGCAGACAGACAGAAUUUAAAGGCAGUUUUACUGUUCUACAAAUUAAACGUCCGCUAGUUUUAUUUAAUUGAAUAAUUGAGAUGAAAGGUGGGGAAAGGUCUAAAGUUGAGUUACUGUGGUACAUUAUUGGUGGAAUGCUGCUUCAACUCAAACUGUUUCGUCAGCUUUAAAGAGAUUAUGUAAGUCACUCUUCAUUAUUAUGCACAACAUUGUUUAUCUCAUUUACAAAAUUUGCAGCAUAAUUGCAAGAAAAGAGAGACUCCCAAAGCAGCGCGACCGAUAGUUGUCAUUUCAGGUUUUAGCUCGGUGACCUUAUUUCAGGCAACGCGAGCCUUCGCAGCCACUUUAAGACACCUUUUAGCCAAAGAGACAUUAAGGUGGACGUCGUGAGCGAUGUGAAUGAAUGUGAUGGUGCGAGAUGUAGAAAGGAGACCUGGGACGUUUUUGUCUCUACUCCAAUGGAGACACAACGUUUGGUGGCGAUUUCUGCUGAUUGGCAGCUAUUUACUUAUUGUUUGUAGUUCGAAGGUUGCCGCUAACAACACCUUUGGACUGUAGCAUUAUUGACGAUAAAGUACAACGUCUCGUACCUUAUUGCUUGAGUACAAUGUGGCCUUACUUUCCCUGUUAUUCAUUUAUUUUUUCAAUUUUGAGUUAGUUACACAAAUAAAUAUAGAAGUUGAAAAUAUUAUUAUAUUAUUUUAUUAAUAUUAUUUUUAAUUUCAUGAAUCAUUUUGGCGACGGGUGGCCUUUUGUUUUGGUUUGAGUUCCUGCCCCCGAAAAUGUCCUGUGCACGUGCCUGUCACCUGGUGAACUACGUGUUGUGUGAACAGAGCCAGACGGCCCAAAACAGCUCAGGUGCAUUGUGUAAGAUCUGGCCAAACAAUAUAAGCAAAUACAAGUAGCGGUAUCAGUACGAGUGGUACUACACAACGGGGCGGGCCGGGGCUAGCAUGCUAACGUGCUAACGUCUGCAGAUAUCAGGUGUCAACCUGGUUUGUUAAGUUAAGCCAAAGUGUUAAAGCUGCAUUCU
ensembl:lncRNA